AGAUUUAUUUAACUGAAUAGAAAGAUUGUCUCAUAUGUAGUUGAGGAGAUCUCUUUGUUAUCAAUGGAAAUAUCUCUAUUAUCAAUUCCUACCCGGGCUUUCUAAAAACUUUUAGCCAUCGCAUCCUCAGCUUCCGUGCCCGCCUCUUCUAUCAAAUAAAAUUCUAGGCCAAGUUUCCUUUGAUUCCGGAUUGAAAGUUGGAGCAGGUUAGCAUUGUAAGUUCCGCUUUGCUUUCAUUCACUGGAUCUCCACCAAUCAUUGAACAACCAGCAGCCGAGAAUACCAACUAGUAAUUGACCAGUAGUGCCCAAAUGAUUCAUGAAGUCUGCUUGCUCGAUCCGCACUCGAUCUGCACCUCUUCCUUUCCCAAAUGAUGUGUCGAAGCGUGACAAAUAAAUGCGGUAAAAGAGCCGAUCAAUGAUUGCUUGAAAGCAAGAGUCGAGGGACAACAACCAGUAGUGCCCUGGGAUAGGAGAAUCCUUAUUUGAUGCUGGACCAGCUUAUUCACCCGAUGAUCAAAAACAAGAAAACUAGGAUCUGAGAGAUCUUACUAAAUAAAGAAAUCAAUAUAUGGGCAAAAGAAAGAAAGAAAGCUCGAGUAAAUAACCUUAUGUAUGCUCUUAGCCAUCUCUUUACCAAAAGGAAGUGGAAGAUAAAGAUCAAAAUCAAAGAAUUCAUUUCAGACGUGAAUAAGGAUUUCGUGGAUGGAUAGAAGCACUAGCUAGAAAAAGUUAUUCUAUAUACUUAUUUAUUAUUAAUGGCAGGAUAUCAAUCUAUCGAAUUCUAGGCCCAGAGCGAGCAGCAAUGGUUAUAAUGUUUUAUGGGGUAGGCAAGGCAGGCUCAUAAGUUAAAUACAGAUGAGGGUUCCAGACUGCAAGUAAGGAGCUAAGUUGGUGUUAAAAGAAUUCCAGUAAUAUCAAUGAGGGAGUUCAAUAGUCAAUACAGGCUUAUAGGCCUGAGUUUCGGAAUAAUAACCAUCUGUGGAAGAGUAGAGGGCAGGGUGGGUAGCUAGACUAAAGUGCAAGGCACUGAGAAUUAGAUAAAGCCUGUAAAGCACUAGUUAGAGGCAAGGUACAGUAAAGCAAAGAUCUGGGUUUCGUUCUUAUUAGUUUUACUUGUAUUCUUUAUUCCUGUCCUCAUUCUUGUUAUAUCGGUUAGCUUAUUCCGUUUGCUAGUACACAGUUUUUCAUUAGUUCGAUUCUGUUGCUUUUAUGGGAUAGAUCUUAUUCUAAAUAUAAGCAAAUAGGCUAGAACAUAUUCCAUAUAUAAGUAAAUGACACAAGCCAAAUAAUAAAAAGAAAGCAAAGGAAGGCUCACCGGUGAAAUACAGCUUUCUAGUAAAGAGAUAAAGGCGAAGUUAGCAGUUCAAUAAUUAAAAUAAUAGAAGAUAAAAAGAAAUAUUGAAGAAAAAAUUUUAUUGAAGAAGUGAAAAAGCUUAAAUAAAUUAAUAUGUGUCUUUCCUAUUUAUACAGAUUAGGAGGAAGGAUUUUCUUUAAUAGAAUAGAGAGAUUUCCUCAUAUAGUUAGAGAAAUCUUAUCUUCGAUCAUGCCCCCGCAAAAUGGUGCUUCUAUCAAAGAUACCAAUCUUGGAUCGAUGCAAAGAAUGGUUUAUGAGUGAGAGUCGUGAGUAGAGAAAGAGCAGAUCGCUGCUGCUACUAUGAUUGCUGUUGUUGUGAGGGCACAGGCGUUCCAUUUGUUCCUUUUAAGUCUGCCCUUCGUUCUCCUUAAGUCCACUAACUGUUGGCAUAUCAACGAAGACUAUUGCGGUGAGAAAGAUGAGGAUUGGCCGUGGAGCCUCUUAGGAAUUUGGCUACAACAGCGUUAGUCGCUGACCGAAGGCGUAGCUUUUCUUUUCUCAACGGCGUUGGUCGCUGGCCGAAGGCAAGAGCGAAGCUUCGCUUUUCUCACUACUCUGAUACCAUGAUGAAAAUAAUAGAAGAUAAAAAGAACUAUUGAAGAAAAAGUUUUAUUGAAGAAGCUUUAUUGAAGAAGUGAAAAAGCUUAAAUACAUUAAUAUGUCUCUCUCCUAUUUAUACAGAUUAGGAGGAAGGAUUUUCAUCAACAGAACAGAGAGAUUUCCUUAUAUAGUUAGGAAAAUCUUAUCUUCUAUCAUGCCUCCGCAAGAUGGUGCUCCUUUCAAGGAUACCAAUCUUGGAUUGAUGCAAAGAAUGGUUUACGAGCGAGAGUCGUGAGUAGAGCAAAAGCAGAUCGCUGCUGCUACUACGAUUGCUGUUGUUUUGUAGGCACAAGCGUUCCAUUUGUACCCAUUAAGUCCGCCCUUCGUUCUCCAUAAGUCCACUAACUGUUGGCCGAUCAACGAAGACUAUCGCGGUGAGGAAGAUAAAGACUGGCCGUGGAGCCUCUUAGGAAUUUGGCUGCAGUGGUGUUGGUCACUAGUCAAAGGCGAAGCUUUGCUUUUCUCAGCAGCGUUGGUCGUUGGCCGAAGGCAAGAGCGAAGCUUCGCUUUUCUCACUGGAUACCAUGAUAAAAAUAAUAGAACAUAAAAAAAACUAUUGAAGAAAAAGCUUAAAUACAUUAAUAUAUCUCUCUCCUGUUUAUCUAGAUUAGGAGGAAGGAUUUUCCUUAACAGAACAGAGAGAUUUCCUCAUAUAGUUAGGAAAAUCUUAUCUUCUAUCAUGCCCCCGCAAGAUGGUGCUCUUAUCAAGGAUACCAAUCUUGGAUCGAUGCAAAUAAUGGUUUACGAGCGAGAGUCGUGAGUAGAGCAAGAGCAGAUCGCUGCUGCUACUAUGAUUGUUGUUCUUGUGAGGGCACAAGCGUUCCUUUUGCUCCUUUUAAGUCCGCCCUUCGUUCUCCUUAAGUCCACUAAUUAUUGGCAGAUCAACGAAGACUAUCGCGGUGAGGAAGAUGAGGAUUGGCCGUGGAGCAUCUUAGGAAUUUGGCUGCAGCGGCAUUAGUCGCUGGCCGAAGGCGAAGCUUUGCUUUUCUCAGCGGCGUUGAUCACUAGCCAAAGGCAAGAGCGAAGCUUCGCUUUUCUCACUGAUCUAUUACCAUGAUGAAAAUAAUAGAAGAUAAAAAGAACUAAUGAAGAAAAAGCUUUAUUGAAGAAGCUUUAUUGAAUAAGUGAAAAAACUUAAAUACAUUAAUAUGUCUCUCUCCUAUUUAUACAGAUUAGGAGGAAGGAUUUUCCUCAAAAGAACAAAGAGAUUUCCUCAUAUAGUUAGGAAAAUCUUAUCUUCUAUCAUGCCCCCGCAAGAUGGUACUUUUGUCAAGGAUACCAAUCUUGGAUCAAUGCAAAGAAUGGUUUACGAGCGAGAGUCGUGAGUAGAGCAAGAGCAGAUCGCAGCUGCUACUACGAUUACUGUUGUUGUGAGGGCACAAGCGUUCCUUUAAUUCCCUUUAAGUUCGCCCUUCGUUCUCCUUAAGUCCACUAAUUGUUGGCAGAUCAACGAAGACUAUCGCGGUAAGGAAGAUGAGGAUUGGCCGUGGAGCCUCUUAGGAAUUUGGCUGCAGCGGCGUUGGUGGCUGGCCGAAGGCGAAGCUUUGCUUUUCUCAACGGCGUUGGACGCUAACCAAAGGCAAGAGCGAAGCUUCGCUUUUCUCACUACUCUGAUACUAUGAUAAAAAUAAUAAAAGAUAAAAAAACUAUUAAAGAAAAAGCUUUAUUGAAGAAGCUUUAUUGAAGAAGUGAAAAAGCUUAAAUACAUUAAUAUGUCUCUCUCCUAUUUAUACAGAAUAGUAGGAAGGAUUUUCCUCAAUAGAAUAGAGAGAUUUCCUCAUAUAGUUUGGGAAAUCUUAUCUUCUAUCAUGCCCCCGAAAGAUGGUGCUCCUGUCAAAGAUAUCAAUCUUGGAUCGAAGCAAAGAAUGGUUUACGAGCGAGAGUCGUGAGUAGAGCAAGACCAGAUCGCUACUGCUACUACGAUUGCUGUUGUUGUGAGGGCACAAGCAUUCCUUUUGUUUCCUUUAAUUCCGCCCUUCGUUCACCUUAAGUCCACUAAUUGUUGGCUGAUCAACGAAGACUAUCGCGGUGAGGAAGAUGAGGAUUGGCCGUGGAGCCUCUUAGGAAUUUGGCUGCAGCGGCGUUGGUCGCUGGCGGAAGGCAAAGCUUUGCUUUUCUCAGCGGCGUUGGAUGCUGGCCGAAGGCAAAAGCGAAGCUUCGCUUUUCUCACUACUCUGAUACCAUGAUGAAAAAAAUAGAAGAUAAAAAGAACUAUUGAAGAAGCUUUAUUGAAGAAAUGAAAAAGCUAAAAUACAUUAAUAUGUCUCUCUCCUAUUUAUACAGAUUGGGAGGAAGGAUUUUCCUCAAUAGAACAGAGAGAUUUCCUCAUAUAGUUAGGAAAAUCUUAUCUUCUAUCAUGCCCCCGCAAGAUGGUGCUCCUGUCAAGGAUACCAAUCUUGGAUCAAUGCGAAAAAUGGUUUACGAGCGAGAGUCGUGAGUAGAGCAAGAGUAGAUCGCUACUACUACUACGAUUGCUGUUGUUGUGAGGGCACAAGCAUUCCUUUUAUUCCCUUUAAGUCCACCCUUCGUUCUCCUUAAGUCCAUUAAUUGUUGGCAGAUCAACGAAGACUAUCGCGGUGAGUAAGAUGAGGAUUGGCCAUGGAGACUCUUAGGAAUUUGGUUGCAGCGGCGUUGGUCGCUGGCCGAAGGCGAAGCUUUGCUUUUCUCAGCGGCGUUGGUCGCUGGCCGAAGGCAAGAGCGAAGCUUUACUUUUCUCACUACUCUGAUACCAUGAUGAAAAUAAUAGAAGAUAAAAAUAACUAUUGAAGAAAAGGCUUUAUUAAGGAAGCUUUAUUGAAGAAGUGAAAAAGCUUAAAUACAUUAAUAUGUCUCUCUCCUAUUUAUACAGAUUAAGAGGAAGGAUUUUUCUCAACAGAACAGAGAGAUUUCAUCAUAUAGUCAGGGAAAUCUUAUCAUCUAUCAUGCCCCCGCAAGAUGGUUCUCCUGUCAAGGAUAUCAAUCUUGGAUCGAUGCAAAGAAUUGUUUAUGAGCGAGAGUAGUGAGUAGAGCAAGAGCAUAUCGCUGCUGCUACUACGAUUGCUGUUGUUGUGAGAGCAUAGGCGUUCCUUUUGUAACCAUUAAGUCCACCCUUCGUUCUCCUUAAUUCAACUAACUGUUGGCAGAUCAACAAAGACUAUCGCGGUGAGGAAGAUGAGGAUUGGCCGUGGAGCCUCUUAGGAAUUUGGCUGCAGCGGCGUUGGUCGCUGGCCGAAGGCGAAGCUUUGCUUUUCUCAACGGCGUUGGUCGCUGGCCAAAGGCAAGAGCGAAGUUUCGCUUUUCUCACUGCUCUGAUACCAUGAUGAAAAUAAUAGAAGAUUAAAAGAACUAUUGAAGAAAAAUUUUUAUUAAAGAAGCUUUAUUGAAGAAGUGAAAAAGCUUAAAUACAUUAAUAUAUAUGUCUCCUAUUUAUAAAUAUUAAGAGGAAGGAUUUUCCUCAACAGAACAGAGAGAUUUCCUCAUAUAGUUAGAGAAAUCUUAUCUUCUAUCAUGCCCCCACAAGAUGGUGCUCCUGUCAAGGAUACCAAUCUUAGAUCGAUACAAAAGAAUGGUUUACGAGCGAGAGUCGUGAGUAGAGCAAGAGCAGAUCGCUGCUGCUACUACGAUUACUGUUGUUGUGAGAGCAUAAGCGUUAUUUUUAUUCCCUUUAAGUCCGCCCUUCGUUCUCCUUAAUUCAACUAACUGUUGGCAGAUCAAUAAAGACUAUCACAGUGAGGAAGAUGAGGAUUGGCCGUGGAGCCUCUUAGGAAUUUGGCGGCAGUGGCGUUGGUCGCUAGCCGAAGGCGAAGCUUUGCUUUUCUCAGCGGCGUUGGUCGCUGGCCGAAGGCAAGUGCGAAGCUUCGCUUUUCUCACUGCUCUGGUACUAUGAUGAAAAUAAUAGAAGAUAAAAAUAACUAUUGAAGAAANNNNNNNNNNNNNNNNNNNNGAGGAAGAUGAGGAUUGGCCGUGGAGCCUCUUAGGAAUUUGGCGGCAGUGGCGUUGGUCGCUAGCCGAAGGCGAAGCUUUGCUUUUCUCAGCGGCGUUGGUCGCUGGCCGAAGGCAAGUGCGAAGCUUCGCUUUUCUCACUGCUCUGGUACUAUGAUGAAAAUAAUAGAAGAUAAAAAUAACUAUUGAAGAAAAGGCUUUAUUGAACAAGCUUUAUUGAAGAAGUGAAAAAGCUUAAAUACAUUAAAAUGUCUCUCUCCUCUUUAUACAGAUUAGGACGAAGGAUUUUCCUCAACAUAAUAGAGAGAUUUCCUCAUAUAGUUAGGGAAAUCUUAUCUUCUAUCAUGCCCCCUCAAGAUGGUUCUCCUGUCAAGGAUACCAAUCUUGGAUCGAUGCAAAGAAUGGUUUAUGAGCGAGAGUCAUGAGUAGAGCAAGAGCAGAUCGCUGCUGCUACUACGAUUGCUGUUGUUGUGAGAGCACAGGUGUUCCUUUUGUUCCCUUUAAGUCUGCCCUUCGUUCUCCUUAAUUCAACUAACUGUUGGCAGAUCAACAAAGACUAUCGCGGUGAGGAAGAUGAGGAUUGGCCGUGGAGCCUCUUAGGAAUUUGGCUGCAGCGGCGUUGGUCGCUGGCCGAAGGCGAUGCUUUGCUUUUCUCAGCGGCGUUAGUCGCUGGCCGAAGGCGAUACUUUGCUUUUCUCAACGGCGUUGGUCGCUGACCGAAGGCAAGUGUGAAGUUUCGCUUUUCUCACUGCUCUGAUACUAUGAUGAAAAUAAUAGAAGAUUAAAAGAACUAUUGAAGAAAAAGCUUUAUUAAAGAAGUUUUAUUGAUGAAGUAAGAAAGCUUAAAUACAUUAAAUUGUCUGUCUCCUAUUUAUACAAAUUAGGAGGAAGGAUUGUCCUCAACAGAAUAGAGAGAUUUCCUCAUAUAGUUAGGGAAAUCUUAUCUUCUGUAAUUCCCCCGCAAGAUGGUACUCCUUUCAAGGAUGCCAAUUUAGAUCGAUGUAAAGAAUGGUUUACGAGCGAGAGUCAUGAGUAGAGCAAGAGCAGAUCGCUGCUGCUACUACGAUUGCUGUUGUUGUGAGGGCACAGGCGUUCCUUUUGUUCCCUUUAAGUCCGCCCUUCAUUCUCCUUAAGUCCACUAACUGUUGGCAGAUCAACGAAGACUAUUGCGGCGAGGAAGAUGAGGAUUGGCCGUAGAGCCUCUUAGGAAUUUGGCUGCAGCGGCGUUGGUCGCUGGUCGAAGGCGUAACUUUGCUUUUCUCAGCGGCGUUGGUCGCUGGCCGAAGGCAAGAGCGAAGCUUCAUUUUUCUUACUGCUCUGAUACCAUGAUUGAAAUAAUAGAAGAUAAAAAUAACUAUUGAAGAAAAAGCUUUAUUGAAGAAGUUUUAUUGAAGAAGUGAAAAAGCUUAAAUAUAUUAAUAUGUCUCUCUCUUAUUUAUACAUAUUAGGAGGAAGGAUUUUCCUUAACAGAAUAGAGAGAUUUUCUCAUAUAGUUGAGGAAAUAUUAUCUUCUAUUAUUCAAUUCUCAUAGGUAGUGUUCUCGUUCUUGUCAUUACUAUAGUGGUUUUCCUAGUUUAGAGCUAUAGCCCCGUUAAACCGUGUUCGAGGGUUUUUAGGUGGAGGGAGUGUUUUGUCUUAAACUUAUGAGUUGCAUUCCUGCUUUUUAGUUCAAGUUUAGUUUGUUAGCAUGGGUUCCAUUCCUAUAGUUGUCCGAUUUACUUCUUUUUUGAAUAGUUGGAUUCCUUCUGAUCAAGGCAGGUACCUACUCUUUUACUUACACUUUUCAUCCUUUAUUGUAGUGGCUCAAUUCUGAUUUCUAGUAGUUACAGCGUAGUAGUAGCGAAAUUCCUUUUUAUUAGUUACAUCUUGUUGGGCAGUGUUCAUUUCCCUAUUAUAAGAUAAGGAAUGAAAGGGUGGAGAUUGGAAAUGCAUAAGAAGAAUCAGAGGUAGGGCUAUUCUUCUAGGUGUGUUAAUUCCUCCUAGUUUGGAUCACUGGCUAUUCUGUUACUAAUGCAUUGAGCUCAUCCGUUUAUGUUUUAUCUGACUAUCCACUUGCUUCGUCUUCUAGUUCGUCAUCUACAACUUUAAAGGCAGAAGCGUAGGUUUGCAAGUCAGAAUUGCAGUAAAAGAAGCUAAAGAAUGGAAGGUAGGGUAGGCAGGCCUCAACUUUAACAUAGGAAUAAAGGGGAACAACUUACAGGGAUUAGAGUUAGGAUCGGUAUGCCAAGAUUCAAGAUAUAACUCAGUUCAUUAAUUCUAUUAUUAUUAGAAGAGAAUAGGUAUCACGACUAUUAUUAUGCUACUACAGACAAACGGACUUGAACCCGGGAUAAAGAAAGCAAGUAAGCAUCUGAUUUCUGAUUUAAAGAAUAAAAGAUAGUAGUGCUAGGUUGAAUCAAUAGAUACAGCUUUGAUAUCAGUAGCGAAAGAACCCAAGUCAGCAGAUGGUUUCCCGGCUCUCUUAAAGGUACGGCAAGUGAUCUUCGGAGUUACCCUUCUAUUCCUUAUCAUAGGAUUAAUAUAGAACAUAGGAUCUGGAUCAGCAGUCACAGAAUUGAAGUUUGCUAUUAAAGAAAGAAAAGCUGGGGAAUAAACAAGUAUAGUAUGGGCUUUCGAGCCAGCAGAUCUGGUCUAAUUCCGAUAAUGGUAGGUUCCAUUCCUGUAAGUUAAAGAAGAAAACACAUUAAAAGAGUGUAGCGGCAGUGUGUUGGGGAGUAGAAGCCUACAUCCUAUAAGCUAGGCGUGGAAGGGACAGGCUCACUUUCAAACUCAAGAAUGCAAGUAAGUCGUUUCAGUUUGAAUCAGGUAUUGUAUUAAGAUCAGUAGCCUAAUAGUUAAGCACUAGGCUUUCAGCACCUUAUUUUUAGUGGUCUCAUCCUACUCAUUAGUAAAUCAAUUCCUAGGUAGUUAUAAGUAUAAGAAUAGAAGCUAUCAAUGCAUAAUGGAGUGCAAGGAUGGAAGGAUGCAAUGAAGGAGUUAGGGAAAGGACUAAAGUCAGGGCUGCAUUAUGUCACGGACUUAGUUGGUUUUGCUUAAGUCGUGUGACACCCUUGAAUGUCCGUCCGCAAAGGUCAGCCUUCCCAUGGUUCCUUAGGACCCACAAAAGAGAAAACGGGUUAGAGAGAACGCCUCAUUUGGGAUCCAUAAGUAAACAUUCCAGGAAACACUUCAUAGACAAUCCAAGUUACAAACAAACUUUACAAGCUCUGAAUAGUUGCACAACAAAGGGUCAAAAUGGUCCAUUACAGACCAAAAAUCUUUCACAAGUAUCCACAUGACACAACCUUUAUUUACAAGCCUAAAGCGGCCACCAACCCUACUAAAAUGGGACUAUUAAGCCUUCGGUCGUCCCUCUACAUGCUGUACAAAGCAUGAACAUACCAAAAGACACAGACAUACAUAAGCAUUACAUCAAACAUCCUGUUUCGAAGUUUGUCCGUGACAUUCUCCCCCACUUAUUCCUUCGACGUCCUCGUCGAAGCCUUUGCUGACACUGCAACUCCUUGCCUUUGCUGAGUCUUCAAUUUUCUGCUCCUGCUGCAAUGCGCCUCCUAGCUCCCAGCUGCUCUCCACUGUUAUUUUGGAGUAGUCGAACCUUUGAUCUGCCAUGCUGCUUCAACUCGCCAAUGACUCUGACUCUAGUGUGGGGUUGACUGAGUUGUGUUGAUCCCUAUUGGUUCCUACGAAUCCUCUAGAUGAAGGAAAAGACCAUCCUUACUGCGCUAGUCUCUCGAAUGCCUAAUGCUGCUUGAAUUGGGUGGAUGCUUGAUGGAGCUUUAACGAGCAUCAUCUCGUAAACUUCUGAAGUUUUGGGUCCUUCCUCCAUAAAAUUUGUCCAUUGACUCUUCUUUAACUUAGUUGUCACUUCCAAGUAGGUUCGCAUCACUUCUGCUUUCGAUUGACAUUUCGUUGGGAAAUGAAGCGGAUAAUCUACUCUCAGUAGCACUGAUCAUCGUUGGUGAGGAUUUGAUAACUAUUAUCUUCCAUUAUCUUCGAAGGGUCUUUCAACAUGUGCAGAACUCCUCUACUGGAUAGAUAAGAGAAUUGGGGUACUCGGUUUCACCCAUUCUCUUAAGAGUUGAGAAGGCAAAGGUUACUUGACUUCGCAAGCCUCCUCGAGGUUGUACUCUAUGCAUCGAGCUGGUUACUGGCCUUCGUCUGCUCUUUGCUCACACUUCUGAAGCACUUGAAGUGUUUGCACUCCUUGCAUUGAGUUAGUUACUAUGAUUCACCUUCUCAAUGCUAUCGAACUUCUGGAAUGCAAGAAGUUUUCACCCCAACUUGGAGUGAUUCUCUCAUAGGUUUGGUCACCUCUGGGAUUGUACUGUCUUCUCCAUCAACCCUGCUACCUACUCUACUGAGUAGCAAAGGUACAACACCGCUUAUUGCCUGCUUCGUUCCUUAGUCAUGCACUAUUGCCUGACCCAAAGUCCUUCACUUUCGGCUAUCUUGAUGAGAAGUUCAUUGAUACCGGUCUUACGAAGUUCAUUGGCCUCUGCCCUUCAGCCUUGUCUCGGUAUUUGGAGAUUGUCUUUGCAUGCUCCACCUCCUCGGUCCCUUUCACGACCAAGCGCUCUCCCUCCAUGAGAGCAAGGGAUCAAUGACUUUCACGGAAGUCCCGCCUCUGCGGUACCAUGGCGCUGCCAUGCCCAUGGCACUACUCUCUGUCGCCUCGCAUCUACAUCCCUUUUCUUUACAAUCAGUAGAUAUGCCUCUGUGGCACUCCUCCGAGUCCACCUCUAUUCUAACUGAUGCUUGAUUUUGGGUAGCUAAGUCCCUCUGGACUCGUCAUCGCUUCCUCGCCCCUUUCGACCCCCUACUCCAACACCUUUGUGUUCUUCAAGUAGCUCCCUUUGGUCGAUGGAAAGACAGACUACAACUCCCAUGCAUGGCCUCUGCCAUCACGUUGUAGGGUUUGCAUCGAUUCUAUUCUCCUUAGCUUCCUUAGUAGCAACGUUCGCUUACUCGACCUUGUCCUCUAACUUGUCGGGCUCCCUAAAGCGAAUAUGAGCUCUGGAGUAGUCCAACUCUCCAGCUACUUCGAUCAUACCUCUAUAUGAUCAAGUCCCUCCCAUGGGACUCACUAGUACUUGCAUUCGAACUUUUCCCUUGGUGGAACACAGCCCCCAUAUGCUGAUGACCAAAGCUUUCAUCCGAUGCAAAAUUCGAUGCACGCACGGAAGACCUGCCUCUAUGGUACCAUGGCCUUCAUUCCAUAAAUCCAUAGCCCUUCUUGUCGUCAUGUUGUUCACCGAAGUGGAGCUUCCAAUAGCUCCCGAUCAUACCUUCGUAUAAUCUAGUCCCUCACGGGACUGUGUCGUGUGUAUCACAUUGUCACGAACUGUUCCACCACGAUCCGCUGCAUCAUGUCGCCUCCUGGUGACAUCUCCAUUGCAUUCUGAUCCUUGUGGGAUAAACUUGAAUUAUGAUCUCUCUAUGUGUGACCUCUGCCAAUACAUCGCAAGGUCUCUUCUACCUUCGAUUUUGUUCGCUCCUUUGGCAAUUGACCUUUAUCCACCUACUCUUGGGUCACACCUAGAUGAAGCACCGCUCUAGGACAGUCCAUCGCCUAGUAGCUCCCAAAGUCCCCCGACUUCAUCGUAAUUAGUGCACCAUUGUCUGGAUCCUAGGCCUCUGUCCCUACCAGCACAAUCUUUGCUGCGCACCGCUUCCUUCAUGGCAACUUGAAUGACAACACUAUGGCAUAUUCUUCAAGAGUACCCACCUCUGCGUCCUCUUGCCCCGUGCUAAGGCCUUCUGAACCCAACUUUGCCUCCGCAAAUUGAGUCGCCUUAGUUCCUUCAUCAAAUGCUUUUUCUGAGAUAAGGUGCAUUUGCCCAGAAGCUCCCUUCGUCUUUAGGCACCAUGCAAGAUGAGUCUGCUCCGUCAGAAUGAAGGACCCAUGGAACAACAUGAUCUUGCUCUUGCCUCUGCAAGAGUUCAUGUCCUUAACCUCUGUCCAAGGAAAGCACUGUGCCUCUGCUCCAUGUUCCCUCUUCUAUGCUGGCUCCCUUCAUGUGGCUUGGGUACUUCGCCAAGUUAUACCCAAGUUGCUCCACUCCUUGUUUUUGCAUUGAGUUGAUGGUGGCUCUCGUGCCCACCAUUCCACGGGUUAGCCCUCUCUUGAGUCCGAUCUCUAUAUCGAGUCCAAGUGUGCCUUCAUUUGUGUUGCUUUGGGUCACUCCCCCACUUGAUCUCGCAAUGCAUCCACCAAUGCAUUCUCUCAAGCGAGAGCAUGCGAUGACUCCUCGCCGCUUGCUCGGUCCAUUGAGCUUCGUGGAGUUGUUGUUUGUUGAGGUACUCCUCCUCAACAUGUGAGGUCCGUCUCACAUGAUUCUCCCUCUGGAGAGCCGGGACUUAUCCCUCCUGGAUAAUUGUCCUAUUGAAGCAACAUCUCUCUUCGUUUCGGAGACCACCAUCCCCUUGGACUACUCCGAUUUGUUGAACAAACUAUGCAUUGUUCUGCCUCAUGUAAACGCACUUGCUAGAUUGUGACUCCACGUCAAUACAGCCCCCGCUGCACUAUUCAAGGCCUAGCAACAUGCUGAACUCAUUGCACACUUUAGCCUCCUACGGACGUAUCAUUCACAUGCCGAAGAGAAAGUUUCAAUGCUCCAUGGCGCUGAGUUUCAGUCGCCUUGGGAUGGCCGCGAAUAUUCCAUUGUCCACAUACAAGCCUAUGUAUGAGUACCAAAUUCUUUGAGUUAGCAAUUCCCCUCACCUCUGUGAGCUUUGUACAACUCUUUCGGUCGCUGAGCAACUCAUUCUACCUUACAUGGUCUCAUCCUUUACCAAGCUCCUCGCUUGCCUUGAGCACCAUCAAGUAUUGUUGUCGACGUUGAGCCGUAGCUCAAACUCAGCCAUCCCACCCUUUGUGCGCUCCACAUUCUUCCAAGCUUGCCUGUUCUCAUGGUGCCUCUUGCGCAAAGGGUUGGCCAUUCCUCUGAAUGCCAAUCUCAGAUGCCCGCUCCUUCGAGCAACUCUUUUCCCUAUAUCUCCAUGCCCGUUUUCCCCCAAACGGUCGCGCGUGUGCUGACUGUCCUCAACACAGCCCCGCUAGGUCCCCCACGUUUGCAUGCUAAGUGUUUCUAUGAGUGCUUGUCCCAUUCUGAUACCAUCUAUCAUGGAUUUAGCUGGUUUUGCCUAAGUCGUGCGGUACCCUUGCGUGUCCGUCUGCAAAGGUCAGCCUCCCCAAAGCCUCCCAUGGUCCCUUAAGACCCACAAAAGAGAAAACGGGUUAGAGAGAAUGCCUCACUCGAGAUCCACAAGCAAACAUUCCAGGAAACACUUCAUAGACAAUGCAAGUUAUAAACAGACUUUACAAGCUCUGAAUAGUUGCACAACAAAGGGUCAAAAUGGUCCAUCACAGAUCGAAAAUCUCUCAUAAGUGUCCACAUAACACAACCUUUAUUUACAAGCCUAAAGCGGCCACCAAAUCUACUAAAUGAGACUAUUAAGUCUUCGGCCAUCCCUCUAUAUGCUGUACAAAGCAUGAACAUAUUAAAAGACACGGACAUACAUAAGCAUUACAUCAAACAUCUUGUUUUGAAGUUUAUCCGUGACAGUUAGGUGCCAGCUGUUAAGGUCUCGUACGCUCUUCUUGCACUUAUUAGUUAUUCUUUUACUUACUAACUUUGAUUCCAUCGACUGAACGAAGAGGGCAUCGUCCUAAACUCGGAAUCGGGAAUCAGGAGAUAAAGGUAAGUCAACAGUAGAAUGAAAGGGAAUUUAGUCACUGGUAUCGAGGCUCGAAACUCAUACUAGAGAGAAUUGAACGAGGACAUAUGAGCUUGGCACUGCUGCUUCCGAGGCUGAAAUCAAUGCUUCCAAUACUUAUGCCCUAACACUAAGACUAAUAACCACGAGUCUCAAAGCUGCCCUUCCUAACUCCUGUUCUAACUGUCCUGACUUUCAAACUGAAACCGGAGCUGGGGAUCCCCUUCUUGGACUUGAAUCAUUACCGGAAAGAAUUGAGCUAGUAAAGAGAGAACCCAACUAACUGCUAGGAAAUCGACUGCUGCCCCUAAAAGGAAUGAAGAAAACUACCUACUAUAAGAAUGGAAUAAGUAUUGGCUGUUUAAUACCGAGUUGAGUCUUAAGUUUACAAGUAGUGGUCAGUGGGUGGGUUAAGAGCACAGGGCCAGUUACUGUUCUAGGUGAAUCCCUUGUUGAAUCAGUUUUUGUUAUCGGUUCAGAAAGGAGAGUUUACAGUUUAGGCCUGUUAUGAAAGUAUAGUUCAAUUGUAUAGUCAGUGUAGCGGCAGGAGCCCUGAGUUAGAGGAGUGAAAGAGUUAGUCUAGUACAAGUCUUGUGCCCUUCAUUAAUGCCCUUAAGAUAUAGGCUUCAAAUGCAUGUAUUGAACGGGUAAGAGAAGAUGAUAGGUAUUUUCCCAUCAAACGAAAUAAGAUUCUAAAUCAUUCCUUUAAAGCCUAUAAAACAGGGCGCCGAGUUCUAGCGGUAGGAGUUGAUCCAUAGUUUCGAGUUGCUUGUCUAGCUUAUCCAGAAGCAAAAGAAGCAUAUGUUGCAGUGCUGUAUCGAUCGGUUAUGAACUUAAAGUAAAGGAGUGAAGAAAGAAGAGAAUCCAGUACUGGUAUUUAUAAGUUGCAAGCAUUUAUUCAUUGAAAGGAUAGGUCGGAUGCUAGGAAGAUAGAGUUAGCUCAGAUAGCCUACCGAUCGAUCUUAAUCUGUGUUGGGAGUUUAGAGUUAAGGAGUUAAGUACGCAGCUUCCAAAGAUUCAAUUAGGUCCGCUCAUUCACCUCAUCGACAAGGAAUUAAACUAGAGCAACUCUCUCCCUUGGGAUUCAACAAGAACAUAUGUGUUUGAUGGUUACUUGAGAAGGGAUUUUUCUCUGAUUCUAUCUACUACUUAACAAUCACCUCCUGUACACUGGCAAGCAGAAGAAGGAAUUUACCCUGAUUUUAUACUUAAUUCAAACAUAAAUAUAUAUACUCUACGACGGGCUCGCUAGAUUAGCAAGAGAUUGUUCAACUGCUUUUCGCUCAAUGGGUUAAGCUUUAGUACACGCGGAAUUUCUUCUGCCCUUAACACAGCUCGCGCACCUUUUGCUUCAACACUAACUAUCCCGGUUCCUCUAAUAAGCUAACGCUAAAGUGAACUCAAUAUCCCUGCUCUGCCCUACACUCCAAAACAAACUAUACCUGCUCUGUCCACCACUCACUCUUAAGGCGCAAGCAACGGCUUCUGCUAAUGGACUCGGUCAAGUCAAGUAAGUUAACGCGCAUAAGAAGGCUUCUAUUCAAGUCCAAGGCAAGCUGAGGAAGGACAUUCUCCACGACUAGAUUCAGCAGUUCUUAUACAGCCUACAGCCGCAUUCUCUUGAAACUUAUUCUUAUACUUCUUUCAUCACCUGCUUCUAAUGCUGAUGAAACUAAAACUCACCACGUAGCAGAGCGGUUAGGGCUUUAUACUAGGCACCCAACAAGCAUAUAAAGUAAUUAAUAGAAGAAUAGGGAUAGAUCUAGCACAUCCGGUAUAAGAAUUAGGCUCCGGGCCAGAAUACAUAACUUGCCAGCGCAUCUAGUAAUUGGAAAGGGAGUUUACAGUUAAAUCGAUUAAGAAUCCCGGUUUACAGCCUCAACUACAAGUCCAGUAUUCGCCCUGGCAAUUAAAUCAGUGUCGAGUAUUUCAUUUCUACCUUCAUUCGGCUCAUCGUUCUCGGUGAAGAAAUAGAGGUUAUAGUUUAAUCCAUAGUUAAAAGAUCUGAUUUAGCACAAUGAAAUAGUUAAUUUGACACCCAGGGACAAUAGAGGCGGAACCCCUGUAACAAUAGUACCCGAUGAUGGGGAUAUAAACAGGAAUAACUUUUGUAUAUGAACAAAUACUAGCAUGCCAUGAUAUGCAGCGGAAUUAAAUGGAACCACAAUCAAAUAAAACACCAAGAUAUACGUGGAAAACCCCUUCAAUGUGAAGGGUAAAAAUCACGAGGCAAACUAGAGAUAAUCCACUAUGAGAAUAAUGAAUAUACAAAUCUCAAUCUCUUGCCCUAAACCCUAGCAACAAUCACAAGAGAAUAACUGGGAUACAAGGAUCAUGUCACUGUCUACAAUAUCUAAAACCUCCCCAAGUAAUCAUAGCAAGAGCCUACUGUAGAUUUGAUCUAACCUGAGAUGAGAAUACUGCUAGACGAUUGAGAACAGCUUCUCUGCGUUGUCCUUGUCUUCUUCCCUUUCUUUCUCUUCCUUUUCUGCCUUGUUUUCCUCCUUUUCUUUGGAAUCUCGUGGUUGUUUUCUUCUCCCACGUUGCUGCCCUAUUUAUGCCUUUUUCUGCCUCCAAAACGCAGCCACCACACCCCUCCUAAUGUUAAUUAGGGUUAGGUUAAGAGGGGGUGAGCUGUGGGAUGCCCAAGCCCACUAUGAGCUGAAUCUGUGGGCUGCCAGCCCAACACCCGAUCCCACUCCUUAUGCUAUUGCUACUGAGUUAGUUGUUUCAUUAGAGUUAGUUGUUGAACCGCUUCUUUGGCUUCUUCUCCUAGAACUGCCUCACCUAGAACUUUCAUAGGCAAUUCUCCAUCGUUAACCGGAACUGACUAUUCUACUUAAGGCUGCAGGUUACAAACACAGGAAUUGUAAUAACUUCUGCUUGUCGACUCGGUAACAACUAUGACUAGUAAAUAUGGGGUUCUUUCCUCGAAACCACGACUAUAAGUUUCCGUCCUUUUCCAUCUAUAGCGCUAAGAUAGUUUGCCAUAGGGUAUGGUGUGGGUUUACUCAAUUCUAUAACAAGUGCAUCUGAUUUAACUUCGAAUACUAACUUACUUCAGAGAAAGUGUAGUUCAAUUUAGGAGUUGGCAAAGGAUCUGCACCAGUGUGGUAUGCCAACAGAGGAGUUACAGAGCGGCAGUCCGGGUUCCUUAAUUUGUUGAAGAAACCCUCAAUUAGAGUGUUUUAAGAUAGGGUUAACUAAUUGAAUGGAAAAUUCCCCAUUAAGCUAGGGAUAAAGAAAGUACCGGCUUUGAAGCGGGAAUCAACUUCUUACUGAUGUGGAAGAUGUACCAGUUGUUGGCGAAAGAAAGGAAGCACGGGUCAUAAAGGGGAGUUUCAUCAGUUCUAUUAGAUAAGAGAGAAUCUAAGUGUGUUUGCCCUAAGGAUACAAAACCUCUGUUCGGAAGCUUACUUGUUCACUUAUCUGUUCAGAAGCUAGAUGUAUUCCUAACUUACAACCAACCCUCGCACCUACCGAGUAGCCCUUCUCAACGCUUAGAGUCAACUCAAAAUUUUUAUAUUUAUAUUGAAGAACAAGAAGUCAAGUUACCAACCAAAGCACUUGUCUCUGACUCCGGUGUUAGUAUCAGUUGUUACGAGUUAAGUUUUCGACCUUAGCAACUAGUGGUGAGGUAAUUUGCCAUAAUAGGAGUUUCACAAAGAAUUAAACAUAUACUAAUGAAGCUAGGUUAAGUGCAGCUAGUUAACUUCUUUCUUACCGCAACUCGGGUAUUGUAUAAGAAUAGGGGCCAAGAGAUCAGUAUCAGAGGAAAAAGAGCUAGAUCCAAUCACUCACCACUACUAUUGUUCCAGUUAUCAAGUUAUGAAAGGGAGUUAGAAACCUAUGAUAAAUCUUCCGAUAAGCCUUUCACUCCUGGCAAGCAACGUAUACAAAGGCAAGACCCUUCAACAAGGAAUUCUGUAGCUGUAAACGCCUUUAGCACAGAGGAUGUAAGAUAGUUGCUUAUCGUCUGCCCUGCGUUCUAAACUCAUAAACUACAGGCUCGGCUCUUGCUACAAAUCCAGCACUGUUUCCUUUAAGAAUGGAAUUUUUUCCCUUAGUGCCAGUUUCAUUCAACAAGAUGUGAGUCAACUGCCCUUAAGUUAAUGGCGAGAGUAAGUAGUGAGUCUUUACUUGUUUAUAUCCCGAGGUAGUGAGUAGGGAUAAGUUAGUAGUUAAAGUCAGAGUUGAACUCCUUAGUUAAAGUUAGAAUUUCACUAGUACCACAAGAAAGGAAGAAUUGUCCUAAGUAGUCAAAGAAUGAAACAAGGUAGUGAAAGUUAGUUCAGUUAUCCAUGUUAAUUUGAUAGUUCUGUAAGUACUGAGUUUAUCCUAGUAGUGGAUAGUUGGUUCUUCGUGAUGGGGAUAUAAACAGGAAUAACCUUUGUAUAUUAACAAAUACUAGCAGGCCAUGAUAUGCAGCGGAAUUAAAUGAAAUCACAAUCAAAUAGAACACCAAGAUAUAUGUGGAAAACCCCUCUAAUGUGAAUGGUAAAAACCACGGGGCAAACUAGAGAUAAUCCACUAUGAGAAUAAUAAAUAUAUAAAUCUCAAUCUCUUGCCCUAAACCCUAGCAACAAUCACAAGAGAACAACUGGGAUAUAAGGAUCACGUCACUAUCCACGAUAUCAAAAACCUCCCCAAGUAAUCACAGCAAGAGUCUACUGUAGAUUUGAUAUAACCUGAGAUGAGAACACUGCUAGAUGAUUGAGAAUAGCCUCUCUGCGUUGUCCUUGUUUUCUUCCCUUUCUUUCUCUUCCUUUUCUACCUUGUUUUCCUCCUUUUCUUUGGAAUCCCGUGGCUGUUUCCUUCUCCCACAUUGCUGCCCUAUUUAUACCUUUUUCUGCCUUCAAAACGCAACCACCAUACCCCCCCUAAUGUUAAUUAGGGUUAGGUUAAGAGAGGGUGAGUUGUGGGCUGCCCAAGUCCACUAGGAGCUGAAUUUGUGGGUUGCCAGCCCAACAACCUCCCCUUUCAGCCCAUAAGGGAGGCUGUCCCAUGACUCCUCAAUGUGAAGCCAUGCUGACCAGCUGUCGGCAUAUCUCCUGUCUUUCUUUUGGUAAAGUUUUUGUUAACAUGUCUGCUCCGUUGUCAUCUGUGUGAAUUUUCUGAAGCUGCAACUACUUCUCUUCAAAUAUAUUUCGAAUCUAGUGGUAUCUGACAUCUAUAUGCUUUGACUUGGAAUGAAACAUUGGGUUCUUACACAAAUGGAUGACACUCUGGCUAUCAUAAUGCACCAUAUAAUUUUCCUAUUUCAGCCCCAAUUCUUAUAAGAAUUCUUUCAUCCAUAACAUUUCUUUGUACACCUCUGUAGCAGCAAUAUAUUCUGCUUUUGUGGUGGAGAGAGCAAUACACCUUUGUAACUUAGAUUGCCAUGACACAGCUCCCCCUGCAAAAGUAAGUACAUGACCUGAAGUAGACUUUCUUAUAUCUAUAUCUAUUGCCAUAUCUGCAUUUGUGUAACCUGUCAACACAUGUGGUUUACCUCCAAAGCUUAAACAAACCUUAGAGCUCCCUCUAAGAUAUCUAAAAAUUCACUUCACUACUGCCCAAUGCUCUUUGCCUGAAUUUGUAAGAAAUCUACUAGUAACACCAACUGCAUAUGCGAUGUCUGGCCUCAUACAUACCAUUGCAUACAUUAAACUUCUAACUACUGAAGCAUAAGGAACCUUUUGCAUUUUCUCCUUCUCCUCAUCACUUGACGGACUUUGUUUUGAGCAUAACUUGAAGUGACCUACAAGAGGAGAACCAACUGGUUUUGCAUUGCUCAUACUAAAUCUUUCUAAUAUCUUCUCGAUGUAUUUCUCCUAUGACAACUAAAUCUUCUUAUUUUUCCUAUCACAAGAAAUAUGCAUACCUAGUAUUUGCUUUGCUAGCCCCAUGUCCUUCAUUGCAAAAGACUCAUUUAGCUCCUUCUUCAAUCUGUCAAUUUUAGACAUAUCUUUCCCAAGAAUAAGCAUAUCAUCAACAUAAAGUAAGAGAAUAAUAAAAUCCUCACCAAUAAUUUGAUGUACACACAAUGAUCUGAAGCUGUUCUUUUGUAUCCAUUUUCUAUCAUAAAUGAAUCAAACUUUCUGUACCACUGUCUUGGAGCUUGCUUUAGCCCAUACAAGCUCUUCUUCAAUUUGCAGACAAAGUUCUCUUUACCUUUAAUUUUGAAGCCUUCUGGUUGCUCCAUAUAAAUUUUCUCCUCCAGAUCCCCAUGAAGGAAAGCUGUCUUCACAUCUAACUGCUCAAUCUCCAAGUCCUAGCUAACAGCAAUACCAAGAGCAACGCGAAUAGAAGAUAUUUUAACAACAGGAGAAAAAAUCUCUUCAAAGCCAAUACAUUUCUUUUGACCAAAGCCUUUCACAACCAAUCUAGCUUUGUACUUUAGUUGAGAACAAUAUUCUUGAGUCUUCAACUUGAAAACCCACUUGUUCUUCAAGGCCUUCAUUCCAUUUAGUAGUAGCACCAAAUCAUAAGUGUGGUUCUUCUGAAGAGCAUCUAUCUCUUCCUGCAUAGAAACUAACCACUUCUCUUUCUGCUUACAUUCAACUGCUUCCUGGUAACUCUCUGAUUCACCUGCAUCAGUAAGCAUCACAUACUCAUAUGUAGAGAUUUUUUUGGAAGGUUGACGUUGUCUAGAAGAUCUUCUCAACUGAGGUUCUGCGGGAAGUUGCUCUACAACUUCUUCUUGCUCAAUAUGUCCUGCAGGUAGAUCAACAUCAGGCUCUACACUAUCUUCCUGCACAUCUCCCCCAUACCCUGAUAUACUGGAGGAGUAAUUGGGUCACAAUCUGCUAAUUCUUCUGUAGAAGUAUUGGCUGGUGCCUUCUUCUUCAAAUCUUCAAAAGUUUGAUCCUUAAAGAAGACUAUAUCUCUACUUCUAAACACCUUCUGCUUUUUUGGAUCCCAAAGCCUGUAACCAAAAUGAUCAUAUGAGUAGCCAAGAAAAAUACAUUGUUUAGACUUACCAUCCAGCUUGGACCUCUCAUUAUCUGGAACAUGUGCAAAUGCACGACAACCAAACACUCUCAAAUGUUUGUAGGAAACAUCUUUCCCUGACCAUACAUACUCUACAACAUCACCAUCUAGGGCUAUACAUAGUGAUAAGUUGAUCACAUCAACUGUAGUCCUCAAAGCUUCAUCCCAAAACCUUUUGGGUAGCUUGGCUUGUGAAAGCAUACAUCUGAUCUUUUCCAUGAUGGUACGGUUCAUCCUCUCUGUAAUUGCAUUAUGUUGAGGUGUACCAGGAACUGUCAUCUCAUGUUGGAUCACAUGUGACCUGCAAUAGUCAUUAAACAAUCCUGUAUACUCACCACCAUUAUCUGAUCUUAUGCAUUUCAAAUUCCUUUAUGUCUCCCUUUCAACCCUAGCAUGAAACUCUUUGAAGAUAUUAAUCACCUGAUCUUUAGUCUUCAAAACAUAGGCUCAAACUUUCCUGAAAAAAUCAUCUAUAAAAGUAACAAAAUAAAGUGCACCACUUAUACCAAGAACAUCAACAGAUCCACCAUGAGUUUUUGUCCUCAAAGGACCACAUACAUCUGUAUAAACAUGGUCUAAGGCAUACAUUUUUUAGACAAAGCAGGACUAGCAAAUGAAACUCUAUGUUGUUUAUCUUUCAAACAAUCAAUACAAGGGUUCAGAUGUAUACCUCUGAGGUCUGGUAAUACCUCUCUCUUGGAAAGAGCUUGCAGCUCCUUCUCGCUCAUGUGUCCCAAUCGCCUAUGCCACAACUCCAUGCUGAAGUCUUUUUCUAUAGCAUUUAACUGCUCACCAUAAGCUUUAGUCUGUAACCUGUACAAAGUAUAAAAUUUCUUUCCAUUAUCUAUAACAAGAGAACCCUUACUGAGCUUCCAUUGCCCUUUAUGAAAUCUGCUAUCAUAGUCUUCAUCAUCUAGCCUUCCAACUGAAAUUAAAUUCAGCCUUAAGUCAACCACAUGCCUCACAUCUUUAAGCACCAACUUGCAGCCAAGGUUGGUCUUUAAAUGGAUAUCACUCAUGCCUAUGAUGUCUGGUGUGCCAUAGUUGCCCAUCUUGACAACACCAAAAUUUUCAGACCUGUAUGUAGCAAAAAACUCCCUCCGUGGUGUAGUAUGAUAAGAAGCACCUGUGUCAAUCACCCACUCAAGAUCCUGACACACACAAGAAAAAAUAUCAUUAGAAGGAGAUAAAAUCAAAUAAUCACCACCCUGCAUUGUAGCUGUGAUAUUAUCUUUUGACUCUAUAGACUCCACUUCUUUUCCCUUUUUCUUGCUCUUCUUAGGUUGCUUACAUUGGUUCUUGUAAUGUCCUUUCUCACCACAAUUAUAGCAAACAAUAUCUUUUCUUGAUCUUGACUUGCUUCUACCCAUGCGUGAACUGCUUCUAGACUUUGACCUUCCUUUGUUCUCUGAGAUAAGUGCCUGCGAAUCAUUCUGAGAUGUUGCCGAACUCUUUCUUCUCAACUCCUCAUUCAACAAACUGCUUGUUUUCAUUAAUAAGAUUAAAGCAUGUUCCAUUUUAUACUGGUAGGAUAAGAACCAAACUCGGUAUUGUUCAAAAGAGAGGGAAAGCAGAAUGUUGUCAAGAUAGUAUAGAUCACCCCUUCUUCUUGCGCCAAAGAUCCACUCAUUUCCCAAGGAACAGGAGCUACAUUUCUUUUCCAUUUCCAUUCCAGAGUUCCUAUGUGUUUCCGCACCCUUUUGUAGACCUCGGGAAAAAUCCAAUAUUGGCAAAUUCCUUCUCUUAGGAAUACAUACCAGAAUUAGGAUAAUGCCCACCAUUAACUCCUUCAUUUAAAUUAUGGAAUCUCUUAUAUCUUAUAUUGUAAUAGAAAGAUUCAUUUCAUAAGUUAGAUUCAUUUCAUAGUUAUAGAAAAGAAAUACAUGUCCUACCGAGACGGAAUUUAUAACUUACUAGACUCUUGCCCAACAGGCUAAGAUUGACCUCUCUAUUCUUUGUGGAAAGACUUAUUCAUUCGGAUCGACGCCCAACUCCAUAGCAUUGCCAGUAUCUCCAUAUUGUAUAUUUUAUGCAGGUUUACCUCCUUGCUUUUCUUGCAUCUCUCAUGAGAAAACCCUCUUCCCGCAGAGCCCCCUUUCUCCUCGGUCCAUAGAGACAAAAGAAAUGUAGGACUGGUGCCAACAGUUCAUCAUGGAAGAAAGCACUCACCGAAAUGGGAUGGGAUCACUAACAAAUCAACAAAUAGAUGGAUUAUUCCAUAUAGAUAGAAUUAGAGAGAAACAAACUGUCUUGUCUUAUCCGUAUACUUUCCCCUAAUAGAGAAACCCAUUGUCUUUUCUGUCCUAAUAGAUAAGGAAACCAUCUUAUCCGUAUACUUUCCCCUAAUAGAGAAACCCAUUAUCUUUUCUGUCCUAAUAGAUAAGGAAACCAUCUUAUCCGUAUACUUUUCCCGGUUCCAUUGGCCUUAUGCAAUCGCUCGGAUCAUAUGGAUGUCCCUUCAACAUAGAUGGUUAUCGCGGACGACUUACCAAAGCACGAAAUCCAGGAUCUUUCAUCCAGAGUAUUCCUAUUUUAAGCAUAAAGAGUAUUCGAGUAUUCCUAUUUGAAGAAGUGCAUAACCGCAUGUAUAAGCUCACACUAACCCGUCUUGGAUCCAAUUCUACUUGGGGGGUCGGGUAUUGCAAUGUAAUAAAUCCAAAUAACCCUUUCCUAUAUAAGAUGUUCUCUAUUGAUUCAAACGCUGGGUAAGGAUGGAGUAAUAAAUACAAAGGAGGAAAAACCAGCUGAUUUAACAUCCAAUCUCCUGAUUACAUCUAUACUUUCUUCCUCUUAAGGAAACGAAACAACCUUUCUUUCUCUAUUCCCCUCGGGUUGACUCAUUGAAAAGCCUCCAAUUACUCCUGAGACAUAAAUCUCUAUUUUCUCGCCCGCUAACCUUUUUGAAUAGAAAGAAUGGUAAUGAUAAUAGGGGCUACUGCCGGGGUAAGUUACAUUUUAUCCUAUUACCUCAAAACUCCAAAUUAGCCUUGCGACGAGACGUGAAUGUUCCUUCUUCCCUCUUCUCUUCCUUGGGUUAGUGAACAUAUAUUGGUAUGAAAAGCUAAUAUAAUAUGAGAACUUCUUCCUUCUUCUUUUCCUUGGGUUAGUGAACAUAUAUUGGUAUGAAAAGCUAAUAUAAUACGAUAAUAUGAGACAAGAAAUCAAUCUACUUGUGAAGACUCGGACUUAUCACUGUUUUGUUCAGAAUUUCAGCACAGAGAGGGUCAUGGAUUUCACACUUUUCUGGGAUAGGGUUCAGUGAGUAAGAAGAGAGAGAGAGAGAGAGAGAAGGUAAGUAGAGCAGCUGUCAGCUCACAACGCAAACAAACGUUUACUAGAUUCUAUAUUAGUAACGCUAACCACUCUCUUUUUGGGGUAAUGUAAUAUAAAUGUGGUUGGGCAAGACAAGCGCUUAUUCCCCCAUACGGCCUAGAUUAUCGGAAGAGAAGCUCCACUCCUCAUCUCUAUUGGAGUUGGUAGGUAUAAAGCGAGAAGCCAAAGAAUCCACUUUGGGACUUACGUAUGCAACUUAACACGCCUACCCUUCCCUUACUUCGCGACCUGUUUCUAAUGAAGAAGAACAGAUAAAGUGGCAAGCAAAUCAUCUAGGAAUGAGUUAUAAUACCUAAUUAUUUGAUUUACCAGAACUCAAGGGGAUACACGUUACACCACGAUUUUGGCCUAACAAACAGGUUUUGCUUUCAAGCUGGCUCUGUCUGGCAUGUGUACUAUGGGAAACUUCCUUUCUUUCUCUAUUCCCCCUCGGCCAUUUGAGCGGUAAGUCCAGAGACUGAAGCCACCAAAAGUGCUUUCGCCCUCCGUCCUGACUUUAAUUACUGGUUUGGUAUGAAAUCGCAUAUGAUAGAAGAGAGUAACUUCAUUCGCUUAACUCACAAACGCCCAUGAACGAAGAAUGGACUGUUCGACUUCACUUUGAUUCUAUACCAUCAUCUCACAUUAGCUAUAGGAGAAAAGAAAGUAAGGGACAAGGGCCGACAUUGGUGAUUAAAGGGCUUCUGCAAGGACUAUAAGUGGUAGAGUUCCAGAGUGAAAUCCAUUCAAUUACUACUUUUUAACUUUAGAGUGGAGUUCACGCCCUUGCUCCGGGCAACUACCUAAUGCGUUCUCCUUGGCAGUAGUGAGGAAUCUCGUAUCUGUGCAAUAGAAGUGAUUGGCUCUGAGCUGAGUCAGGAGUCGAAGCCGAAGCAACUGAAUCAGCAGUGUGAGUGAAGUUGUAGAGAUCUGAUCGAAUCGAAUACCCAUGUCACAACGGAUCGGUGUGUGAAGCAUCUCUGGACUCAGUUCUUUACUUGAUCUUAGUUGUUGUUAAAGUGUUGUGACGCGCAGGAAGCUGUUCUUUGGAGAAGCCAGCAGUAAUAAGUUUUUAAGCAAAGGGAGAGUCCGGAGUUAAGUAAGGAGUUCAUAAGCCUUAUGGAAGCUAUGUUUAGCUUACGAGUGGAGUUCGAGCAAAGUUCUCUGUUUAGGUAAGGAGUUUUCUUGUGUAAUUGUCUUUCCUUUCCGCUCUAGUGGCCAUAAGAGAAGCCAAUAAGCUAUGGCAAUAAGAGUAGAGUGUAGGGUGAGGCUGCCUGAUGCGCGAGUUCAAACAAUAAAUGAACAAGUAAAGGAACAAGCAAGGGGAAGGGGUAAUAUAUCUGAAUGGGAAUCAACAUCUUGCUUAUUGGAGUUUCGGGGAACCAAACAAUAAAGAUUGGACUCCACGUGUUGAGUAUAGAACUUUGUAACUGGAGAGGACACUUGUUUCUUUGCUUUCAAGGCUUAAACAGGUACAUUAGAUACAUUAGAGAAGAGAGAGAUUCAAUUCAAUUUGACGAAUGAAAAAAGGGAUGCUGUGCGGUAUCUCGGAUCAAGUAAGCGGCACGGUAGCAAAGCCAAGAAAUCUUCUAGGUAGGUACCAAGUAAUAGGUCAGCAGCAAGACAAGAUAUGUUUGGGUAUGAAGUCGGAGUAGUAGGAGUAGGGCUCCGUGGGUCUAUACGAUCUGGAAACACAGAAUUAUUCAAUCAAUAUUAAAGCCUAAUAUCUUUAUUGUAGGGGAGAGAGUGAGAUGAGAGGCAAUGCAAUGAUAGAAGCUUGCAGUAGAGCAGACCAAUACUAUAAUAUAACUAUAAUAGCAGUGGAAAAGCAAUAAUAUCACAAUAACAGCAGUAUCAAAGUCAGAUGAGAGGCAAUGAUUGAAGUUGAAGUAGAGCAGACCAAUACAGUAUCAAAGUUAGAUGAGAGUGUUUUUGCCGACAUCCGCUCUGCCGCUUCAAGAUACCGAAGUUUAGUAAAGGCCACCCAUUUCAUCAUUUGCUGUCCUUCUGUAGGGAUUGCCCAGGUCUUGAUUCCCAGUCUGGCUUAUUGAUCCACCUUUAUCAUUAGUAAGUCUAAGGGAAAGCACUAAAGUAGAACUAAUCUCUACCCCUUUAUGCUCGUAGUAGUUGUGACGACGUGAUUGACACAGUGACAAACAAGCCUAAAGAACCAGCAUAUGCGCUUAUCAAGGAAGCAAUGCAAUUGGUUCUAGGAGAUUGCCUAAGAAGGAAAUACCAAAGAAAUGAACUCAGCCGCCAAGUAAAGAGAGAUAAGAGUUUCACCUCCGGAUCUAUUUUAAUGCGGUGCAGCAGAAUGCACAGAGACAAGAGAGCACCCGGAAGCAGCAAGCCAGCCAUCCAGGGCCCGUAAAAAGCAAGCCUCUUAACGAAUCCCAAGCUAAAAAGUCAGCUAAGCAACUAAGAAGGCAGCGUCUCAGGCCAAUUAUGAUCCUCACCAGCAAUAAGGUGCUCCUGGGGACCCAAUUGAACUUACUACCCGUAAUAAGCCUUACCCUCUUUUCCAUCCUUGUUGCCCUGGAAAGCCUUUUCUCUGCCCGGAGAUAAAGCACUCCCCUGGCCUCCUGGUCUCGACUAUUGAAAAGUUCAUUUCAUCGAUACGCAGGCCAUAUCCGCGACGAGUUAGUGUAAUACUUUGCUUGCUAUACGUCUAAUUCUGAAUUCCCUUCGUUUCAAUUUGAAGGAAGUUAAAGCCUGAAAGCUGCCAAUGUAACGGAAGCUACUAAUAUAGGGAUCCAUACUAAUCCAAUGCCACAAGAUCCAGGGAGACAAGUAACUCACUACUUAGAUAAUUAUACCAGUACAAACUCAUCCAGGACCUCCGCGCUAAGACUAGCCGAGCACUGCCGCCACUUAAGGCACUCAGGCUCACUUAACUCAACUCGCUAACGGUGAAGAGUAGAAGCUAGUGCAAAGGGUGAAUUGAGUGCUGCAAAAAGAAUUGAAUCCAUCGUUUACAUGAUCUCAUUUGGGAACCCUACUCCUGACUUACUGCCAAAAUGGUUUACGCGUUAGGAGCUCUAUUGGGUUGCCUUGUUUGCUCCAUAUUCUACAUUCGACUUUUUAGACUUUAUACCCUAGACAACAAUAGUACUAGAAUAUCUCAUGUAAUUGAACUUACUACCAAUAUUUGUGUGGAACCGGAUGUUGGGCUGAUGGCCCAUAUUCAGCCCAUGUGGGCUUUAUCAGCCCACAGCCCACACCUUCUCUUAACCUAACCCUAAUUAAGAUUAGGGGGUGUGGUGGCUACGUUUUAGAGGCAGAUUAAGGCUAUAAAAAGGCAGCAACGUGGCAGAUUAAGGCUAUAAAAAGGCAGCAACGUGGCAGAUCUUUGGAGCCGCGAGAUUCCAAAAAGAAGAAGGAGAACAAGGCAGAAAAAGAAGAGAAAGAAAGGGAAGAAGAUAAGGACAACGCAGAGAGACUGUUCUCAAUCAUCUAGCAGUGUUCUCAUCUCAGGUUAGAUCAAAUCUACAGUAGGCUCUUGCUGUGAUUACUUGGGAGGUUUUAGAUAUUGUGGGCAGUGACGUGAUCCUUGUAUCCCAGUUAUUCUCUUGUGGUUGUUGNNNNNNNNNNNNNNNNNNNNUCUUCUAGUAUUUGUUUCUAUACAAAGGUUAUUCCUGUUUAUAUCCCCAUCACCGGACUCCUUACUCACACUUUACUGCCUAUAAUCUUUGCUUGCUUGUUGAAUGGAAGAAAAGAAGAUGAUAGACUACUAUUGCUUGUUUGAGUUGGGCUAUCAAAUUAGGGCAAUAAGUAAAUUCUCGUGCUAAGACCUCUGUUCAACGUUACUAAUGUAACAAACCCCGCAGCAAGCAGUGUUUUUCGUUUCUCUAAGGGCUAAGCAGUCUUUCAAAGAAGCGCUGUAGUUUGCUGACUCCUGUCGUGUUGGAUUCUAACUUGGCCUGUAAACUCGCUCGCACCGAUGGUUCUACUACUCGUUCAUAAACAGACAGACAGGGACGCUGACACAAUGGAAAUGGCCUCCGACAGCAAUAUAAUCCCGGCGGUAUUAACUUUUUCACUAAAGUAACCACCUUGUCUUCGAGACACGGGAAGUUCGUCGCUCCACUUCUGACUUCGUAUGGUUCAAUGGACUGGGAAGAACGGUCACUUCUAUCCUUCGGCUCUAUCUCCCCUUGUGUUAAACCUACUAUGCAAGUAACUUUACUAAUCCCGCAGAAAGAAUCUACAUAGUAGUUGGUGAUCUGACUGGAAUGUGGAAGGUCUACUUUCUGGAAUCACAGAUGUUAUAUGCUUCUCGCCUGGGUCUAUGCUUCAACCUGGACGGACGCUGCUUGCCUCUUCCUUUCGCUCGGGAUAUUUAUACAGGAUUUGUCCCCUUCUAUCCUAGCUCUUUUCCUCUUAUUUCUGCUUGGGAUAUUUAUACUUCGUCCCCCUCUCUCUUAGCUCUCUUUUCCUCUUCUUUCCACUCAAGUGUAGGCUUUAGAUUAUAUCCGUCUUCUGAAGCUAGCUCGGUCCCUUCCUUCUGCUCCUAGUUUACGGUGUCGGUAGUCUGUCCUCGUGUUGGUCUACUCAUCUUGUUCUCCAGCCCACAGAGCGGUAGGUACUUAAUAAUAGAUGCCCAAUAUAGAGUCCAUCGGUAAUUCAUUCCCUAUUGUAAGUAAGAGAUGCCCUAUAUAGAAUAAAUCCAUUGGUAAUUCAUUCCAUAUUGUAAGUAAGAGAUGCCCUUUAAAUUGAUUCUUAAGGGAUUCACUGUGCCGUAAAAGAAGGGAGAGUAGAAGGAAGCAGUGCGAGCUCCCGACCACUCCAACUUUACUUGUUCCAAGACAGUCAGAUGAAAAAGAAAGGGAAGCCGUGUGUGUUGUUACUUUCUUCUAUCUAUGAGUUGUGCACUCAAUUCAGAACGUUAAGUGCUUUGUUUUGGUACUUAUUAGUUGUUGCAGUGUGCUUUGUUGCUUUCUUUUCUUAUAGAAUAAGUGAACUUGGAUCUUAUUUAUAGUCAGCAUCAGCAGAGUUAUAGGUAGAUAUUAUUUCUAGUAUGUAACUUAACAGUCAACGGUACUUGCACCCGAACACUACUUUCAUAACCGAUUGAAGCUUGAAACUGCCUGCUGAAGAUUAAUUAGCCUCUGAUCCUGCUCUCGCCGAUUCUCUUACAGCAUUUUGGGCUUCUGAAACUGCUCCGCUUAAUCUCUUUCAACAGAUUCUUCACUAGCUUCUGAACUUGUCUAUUCAACUAGAACGGAAAGAUACUUAACGGAAGUAGACCUCGCUUCAUAGCCAGUACUUUAUUAGUAUGAUUCCCCGAACUCUCCUUGAAGUUAGUUAAGAAUUGAAUCUAGCACUCCUCAAAGUAGAUGAAUGUAACCGGACUCCUGACUUUGCAUUAACUCCCGCGACAAAGAAAGAAUGAAACAAACCACUUACCUUGAUGCUUGGCACACGACGUCUUGUUGGUCCACUUGAAGACCUGCUUACUGCUUAUUUUCGAUUGGAUUAAGAUCUUUCUCUGGUUUACUUCCCAUCUUCUAAUCCGGAUCUUGCUUGUGCUAAUUCUAUGUCUCUCCCGGCGCCAACAAACACCGGUGGGUUUACAGCAAACAAACCGAGUAGUUCCACUUAUUAAUAUACUCUUGUUGGUCAUGGUCACUAAACGGAUUGUCCUGUCCCGCCUUGUACUGAAUACUUGUUCUGAAUGAGUGUAAUCGAAGUUCGCCUAGUGCUAGUGUUGUCUCAAGUUAGCGAGAAAGAAUCAAUUUAGUAGCUUCAGCGUUAAGUAUUACCAGUCCCAACAACAACACUAAGUGCGCUAACAAUAAGUGGCUACUAUAUUGUUGAGAUUUGAUUCAUAGUUAUCUAUCUAGAUAGUUAUUAUGAUUUAGUGGUUACAGGAUGAUUUCAAUAACCACCUCAAUCAUGAUCUAGUAGUUAUAGGGUGGUUUCAAUAACUACCUCAAUCUAGUAGUUAUAGGGUGAUUGUCACUAGGUCAUAUAAAUAGGACCAUAGUUCAUGAAGCAAGUAUAUAGAGAGUCUGUGUGCAUUUGGUAUCUUGUAAGUGUUUUUAUCAAUCCUCCUGUUUUUAAUACUACAUUAGUUUUCUUGAGUCGAAAGGCUUCUUUUUACUUGCAUCGUAGUAUUCUAUUUUUUCCUUGCUCCUCCAUCCCCAACAUUUGUGGUAUCAGAGCCUAGUUUCAAUCUGAUCUGGGCAUUAUGGCUUUUAACGACAAUUCCAUGUCUCAACCCCUUAUCCCUAUCUUCUCGGGCAAAAGCUAUGAAUUUUGGAGUAUCAAGAUAAAUACUCUAUUCAAGUCUCAAGAUCUUUGGGACUUAAUAGAGAAUGGAUAUGCGGAUCCAGAUGAGGAAAUCAGACUAAGGGAGAAUAGAAAGAAGGACUCAAAGACAUUGUUCUUUAUUCAACAAGCUAUACAUGAGACGAUCUUCUCAAGAAUUGCAGCAGCAACAACCUCAAAGCAAGCUUGGUUGAUACUUCAAAAUGAAUUUCAAGGCUCAUCAAGGGUGAUUACGGUAAAAUUUCAAACCCUCCGUCGUGAGUUUGAAAUUUUGUUCAUGAAAAGCAAUGAAUCGAUGCAAGAUUUUCUUUCUCGAGUGACUAAAAUUGUUAGUCAAAUGAAAUCUUAUGGUGAACAUCUUUCUGAUCAUAUAAUUGUUGCAAAAGUUUUGAGAAGUUUAACUCCAAAAUUUGAUCAUGUUGUUGCCGCAAUUGAGGAAUCAAAAGAUUUAUCUACAUAUUCAUUUGAUGAACUAAUGGGUUCCUUGCAAGCACAUGAAGUAAGGUUGAACAGGUCACUUGAAAAAAGUGAAGAAAAAGCAUUUCAGGUUAAGGGGGAGUCAAAAUCAAAAUAAAAAAAAUAUUAGUCAAAAUCAAAAUGAAAAAAAUAUUAGUCAAAAUCAAAAUAAAAAAAAUAUUAGUCAAAAUCAAAAUAAAAAAAAAUAUUAGUCAAAAUCAAAACAUCAAAGAUUCCGUUAAAAUAGAAUUUCAAAAUUCCAACCAAGAAAAAGAGGGUCAAUCAAAUCUUGUAUCAGAUCCACAAAAACAAAACCAAAAGGAAUAUCUUGAAGAGGAUUGCACGAGAUCAAACAUUAAAAAAGGUAAAAAAAAAAAAAACAAUCCAAGAAAAAUAAGGAAGGAGAACUAGAUUUGUUCCUGAAAAAAUAUUUUAUUUUUCAAUUAAGAUGGGAUGACCCCUUGAAUCAAU
rnacentral:lncRNA from 1 species